rnacentral:rRNA from 1 species
GACGAACGCUGGCGGCGUGCUUAAUACAUGCAAGUCGAGCGAGGUUACUGUUUCGGAUCCCUUCGGGGUGAAGAAGCUUUAACCUAGCGGCGGACGGGUGAGUAACGCGUGGGUAACCUACCCCAAAGUCCGGGAUAACAGCGGGAAACCGCUGCUAAUACCGGAUGCCUUUACCUUGGGGCAUCUUGAGGUAAAGAAAGGUAACGCUUUGGGAUGGGCCCGCGUCCCAUUAGCUAGUUGGCGAGGUAACGGCUCACCAAGGCGACGAUGGGUAGCCGGCCUGAGAGGGUGGACGGCCACACUGGGACUGAGACACGGCCCAGACUCCUACGGGAGGCAGCAGUAGGGAAUAUUGCGCAAUGGACGGAAGUCUGACGCAGCGACGCCGCGUGAGCGAUGAAGGUCUUCGGAUCGUAAAGCUCUGUCCUUGGGGAAGAAGGCGAAAGCUUGACGGUACCCAAGAAGAAAGCCCCGGCUAACUACGUG